UUUCCCCUCAAUUCGUGCAUCUCGCUAGCUUCCUCCCCUUUCUUGGAUUUGGGGAGAUUAAAGAGUGUUUUUGGUGAUGCCAUAGAGAGAAAGUUGAUGAGCUUGAAGAGGGUUCAAAAUUUGGCGUAGCCUUAGGCCUUGUUUGGCUAACCACUUUAAGGUCAUGGCAAAGAAGUGGCGGACGACAAUCCACUACCAGUUUAGUCGGGUUGACGGAUCUGGACUCUUUUGUUCUUAAUGUGUAUAUUAACCCUUUUGUUGUAAAUAAUAUUAGGGAUCAUUUUCUAUCUUCCACAUGGUUGGAAAUGGUCUUGAGACCAUUCUCUUGUACUUUGUGGUCUCAUUAUGAUUUCAAUAUUCAUGUAAGGCCUCAAAGCCAUAUUUUUUAUGUAUGACGGAUUUGCUUAAUUUUAAUGAUGUAUCGGACUCAUGUAUGGUCUUAUUCUA